GGACUUGCCCAUGAGCGGGGGACAACAUUCGGAAACGGAUGCUAAUACCCCAUAGGUGGAUUGGUCGCAUGACGAAUUCAUUAAAGGUGGCUUUGCUACCACUCAUGGAUAGCCUCGCGGCGUAUUAGCUAGUUGGUAAGGUAAUGGCUUACCAAGGCAGUGAUACGUAGCCGACUUGAGAGGGUGAUCGGCCACACUGGGACUGAGACACGGCCCAG
rnacentral:rRNA from 1 species